rnacentral:lncRNA from 10 species
GAAUUCUCCUGAAGAGUAAAUGCUAAGGAGAAAAGAGUGUCUUGUAGGAGGCAUUUGCAGACAGACGAAGCUAUAGAGAGGGACAAUGCAAGUAACCUCAAAUGAGAGUGUGGAAAGGCGGGAAAGCAGCCAGAGCUUCAUUGUUAUGAAAAAAGAGUGAAAUGUGCUCUGUUGAAGAGUUGAAGAAUGAACAAAGGAUAUUUAGUUUGAAUGGAAGCUCAGUAAUGAGAAAUGAGAAUGGUUGAGUUCUUAAAAGAAGCAAGUAAAGAAGAGGAUUUGUGGGCUACUAAUCUCAUUCAGUGAAUCUCAUACGACCCUUGCCUAGUGUUAAAUAUGUUAAUGAAUUCAUGUCAUGCUGCUCAGUCUUACUAGCCUUCAUCAUCCAGAGUAAAAUGCAUAUGAUUCCUAUGAAAAUUUGUGGAAAGGAAUAUAUUAAUAGGUUAGAAGAAUUAGAAGAAUGAAAAGAAAUAAUUUUUGCUUUUUAAAUGGAGAAUCAUGCAUAUUUGGAGACACAAGGGAAGAAGCCCAUGGAGAAGGAGAGAUGAAGCUGUAAAAGAAAGAUGCUAUGAAUGUGCUCUCGACAGGUGAGAAGAUGCCUCGACAGGGGCAUGGGGAAGCAACUGUCUGUUAAUCCACAAGCAAUGGAAACAGUAUUGCCUGAAGAAAAUGACUAAAAUGAUAGCCAAUGAAUACCAAUAUAAGUAGGCUGAUGCUUUUAGGGAAGAGCUGCUGCAGAAGCACAGACAAAUCAUUGGAGAGUACCUUGUGAAAAUGGCUGCAGAUCACUGAGGACAUUACUCAGAGUCUUGUUCUGGAAGCACCCCAGAGAAGCAGGUUGGGACCACAAAAGCUUUACCUUAGAAAGUAGAUUGACAUCUGGAGAAAAAUUGGACCUAUCUACUUCUUUUAUGAGGGCAGGAACUGAGUGACUGUCUUGCUUUUCAGGUAUCCACAUCACCUAACACAAUGCCUGGCAAAUAAGGAGGCACUCAAUAAAUCUAAUUGUUCAAUAAAUUCAAUGAAUGUCAAAUCUCAUUAAGAGAGAGAGAUUAGUGAGAUUGAGUGAUUGAUUUUGAGCUAGUGGAAAAAAAUGCAGGGGAAGAUAGCCAGCAAUACUUUGUAUCUAUGUACCAACACUAUGCUACUUGUUU